GGGGAUUUAGCUCAGUGGUGUAGCGCCUGCCUGGCAAGCGUGAAGCCCUGGGUUCGAUUCCCGGUACCA
rfam:Heterocephalus glaber contig194867, whole genome shotgun sequence.